GACGAACGCUGGCGGCGUGCCUAAUACAUGCAGGUUGAGCGAUGAAGCUUGGUGCUUGCACCAAUUUGAAGAGCAGCGAACGGGUGAGUAACGCGUGGGGAAUCUGCCUUUGAGCGGGGGACAACAUUUGGAAACGAAUGCUAAUACCGCAUAAUAACUUUAAACAUAAGUUUUAAGUUUGAAAGAUGCAAUUGCAUCACUCAAAGAUGAUCCCGCGUUGUAUUAGCUAGUUGGUGAGGUAAAGGCUCACCAAGGCGAUGAUACAUAGCCGACCUGAGAGGGUGAUCGGCCACAUUGGGACUGAGACACGGCCCAAACUCCUACGGGAGGCAGCAGUAGGGAAUCUUCGGCAAUGGACGAAAGUCUGACCGAGCAACGCCGCGUGAGUGAAGAAGGUUUUCGGAUCGUAAAACUCUGUUGGUAGAGAAGAACGUUGGUGAGAGUGGAAAGCUCAUCAAGUGACGGUAACUACCCAGAAAGGGACGGCUAACUACGUG
rnacentral:rRNA from 1 species